rnacentral:rRNA from 1 species
GACAGAGGGGGCAAGCGUUGCUCGGAAUUACUGGGCGUAAAGGGCGCGUAGGCGGGAUGGCAAGUCGGUCGUGAAAUCCCUCGGCUCAACCGAGGAACGUCGAUCGAUACUGCUGUUCUUGAGGAUUGCAGAGGGGACUGGAAUUCCUGGUGUAGCGGUGAAAUGCGCAGAUAUCAGGAGGAACACCGAUGGCGAAGGCAGGUCUCUGGGCAUUAACUGACGCUGAGGAGCGAAAAGCAUGGGGAGCGAACAGG